GAUGAACGCUGGCGGCGUGCCUAAUACAUGCAAGUCGAGCGAACGGACGAGAGGCUUGCUUCUCUGAUGUUAGCGGCGGACGGGUGAGUAACACGUGGAUAACCUACCUAUAAGACUGGGAUAACUUCGGGAAACCGUAGCUAAUACCGGAUAAUAUUUUGAACCGCAUGGUUCAAAAGUGAAAGACGGUCUUGCUGUCACUUAUAGCUGGAUCCGCGCUGCAUUAGCUAGUUGGUAAGGUAACGGCUUACCAAGGCAACGAUGCAUAGCCGAACUGAGAGGGUGAUCGGCCACACUGGAACUGAGACACGGUCCAGACGCCUACGGGAGGCAGCAGUAGGGAAUCUUCCGCAAUGGGCGAAAGCCUGACGGAGCAACGCCGCGUGAGUGAUGAAGGUCUUCGGAUCGUAAAACUCUGUUAUUAGGGAAGAACAGAUGUGUAAGUAACUGUGCACAUCUUGACGGUACCUAAUCAGAAAGCCACGGCUAACUACGUG
rnacentral:rRNA from 1 species